CACUAUCAGAAUGCGAUUAUGUUCACUCACGCAAUUAAUGUUAAAAUUUCGUCACUUUAAGAUCUGUACUUAGUAAAAAUCAAACCGCCAAAAGCUCAAGCUCAAGCUCUACGCUGCGAAUCAAUGCAAGGAGGAUCAAAUGGAAUCGGUUAUGGUCUCAAAUAUCAGGCACGGUGCAUCGCCGAUGUGAAAGCCGACACGGAUCACACCAGUUUCCUCACCGGAACUCUCAGCCUCAAAGAAGAAAAUGAGGUACAUUUGAUUCGGCUUUCUUCAGCUGGCACUGAAUUGAUCUGUGAAGGUCUAUUUUCUCACCCUAACGAGAUCUGGGACCUUGCUUCAUGUCCUUUCGAUCAACGUAUUUUCUCUACUGUUUUCUCUUCCGGUGAAACAUAUGGGGCAGCAAUAUGGCAGAUCCCUGAGCUGUAUGGCCAGUUGAAUUCUCCACAACUAGAGAAGAUUGCGGCUCUUGAUGCUCAUAGUUCAAAGAUAAAGUGCACACUUUGGUGGCCAACAGGAAGGCAUGACAAGUUGGUUAGCAUUGAUGAGCAGAAUCUUUUCCUCUGGAGCUUUGAUACUUCAAAGAAGAAUGCACAGGUACAAUCACAAGAAUCAGCAGGUGUGCUACAUUCUUUAUCUGGGGGCGCCUGGGAUCCUCAUGAUUAUAAUGCUCUAGCGCUAACAUGUGAAUCAUCAGUCCAACUUUGGGAUCUACGGACAAUGAAGAAAACGACCUCAAUUGAUCAUCCCCAUGUCCGUAAUUUGGAUUACAAUGUGAAGAGAAAGUUUAUGCUUGUAACUGCUGAAGAUGAAUCUGGGAUACAUAUAUGGGAUCUUAGAAUGCUGAAGUUUCCAGUCCUUGAGCUCCCUGGACAUGCUCACUGGACAUGGACUGUCAAGUGCAAUCCCGAAUAUGAAGACUUAAUUCUGAGCGCUGGAACUGAUUCUGCUGUCAAUCUGUGGCGGGCUUCUCCUCCUAGUGGCGACAAACCAACUUCAGAGAGCUUUGACUCCCCUAAUAGGCCUGUCGAUCCAUUGCUUAAUUCAUAUAGUGACUAUGAAGACAGUGUGUAUGGACUUGCUUGGAGCUGUCGAGAGCCGUGGAUAUUUGCAUCAUUAUCAUAUGAUGGAAGGGUGGUUGUAGAAUCGACAAAGCCUCAUCUGCCAAGAAAAUGAAUCAGAACAACCGAAGGAUAGCAUAUCUACAACUUGUCAAAAGUGAUUCGGUUUCCUAGUUCACAGCAAAAGUCAAGGAAUCAUUUGUUAGGAUGAUAUGAUGAGUCGGCUUAUCCGCAGUGUUCAGAUUUCUGCGUCAGCAUGUGCCUUGUGCCAAGUCAUCACACUUUCUUGUUGACACGUGGAGAGCGGCGAAUGGUUCUAACCGUUGCCUUGCUUCUUAACGACAACAUCAACCCAGUAUAAUCUCACUUAGUGUGGCGUCUGGGGAGGGUAGUGUGUACGCAGACCUUACCUUUACCCUGGGAUAGAGAGGCUGUUUUCAAAUAGACCCCCAACAUCCUUCCCUCCAGGAACUUCCCACCUUGCUUUUGGGAAGACUCGAACUCACAACCUUUUAGUUGGAAGUGGAGGUUACCUUCCUUGCACCAGAUAAAUGAUUCUGCCCACUGCAAUUGAAUCUUAUGGUUAAUUUCUUUUCUUUUCUUUUCUUUAGUAUCAUUGAUUUUUUUGCCCCAAGUAAAUACCUCUUCCAUGCAAAGUGGCAAUUCUUUUUGUGACAAAAAGAGUAGAUUUUUUUGAGAAUAGAGGGAGUAAUAAAAAUUGCGGACUGAAGUUUGUGUACC